rnacentral:rRNA from 1 species
UACGAAGGGGGGCUAGCGUUGCUCGGAAUCACUGGGCGUAAAGCGCACGUAGGCGGAUCUUUAAGUCAGGGGUGAAAUCCUGGAGCUCAACUCCAGAACUGCCUUUGAUACUGGGGGAUCUCGAGUCCGGAAGAGGUGAGUGGAACUCCGAGUGUAGAGGUGAAAUUCGUAGAUAUUCGGAAGAACACCAGUGGCGAAGGCGGCUCACUGGUCCGGUACUGACGCUGAGGUGCGAAAGCGUGGGGAGCAAACAGGG